rnacentral:rRNA from 1 species
ACGGGGUGCAGCAGGCGCGAAAACUUUACAAUGCGGGAAACCGUGAUAAGGGAACUCCGAGUGCCCGUAAAAUCGGGCUGUCCAUCUGUUUAAAUAACAGGUGAAGAAAGGGCCGGGCAAGACCGGUGCCAGCCGCCGCGGUAAUACCGGCGGCUUGAGUGGUGGCCACUAUUACUGGGCUUAAAGCGUUCGUAGCUGGUCUGUUAAGUCUUUGGGGAAAUCUACUGGCUUAACCAAUAGGCGUUUCAGGGAUACUGGCAGACUAGGGACCGGGAGAGGUGAGAGGUACUCCAGGGGUAGGAGUGAAAUCCUGUAAUCCUUGGGGGACCACCUGUGGCGAAGGCGUCUCACCAGAACGGCUCCGACAGUGAGGGACGAAAGCUGGGGGAGCAAACCGGAUUAGAUACCCGGGUAGUCCCAGCUGUAAACGAUGCGCGUUAGGUGUAUCGGUGACCACGAGUCACCGAGGUGCCGAAGAGAAAUCGUGAAACGUGCCGCCUGGGAAGUACGGUCGCAAGGCUGAAACUUAAAGGAAUUGGCGGGGGAGCAC